ACACAGUGAGGCAGUCUUCUAUUUUCUUCAGGUAAUCUUUACUCACACUGGAGUUAGAAUUAUAUGGGUUACUAGGCAAAUCUCUGGACUGUAAAAUGUGUGUUAGCCAUGGAAGCAAGAUUUAAUAUUAUAAUAAAAGUUGCUCCAAGAAGAGGGCUUAACACUAAAAGGAAGACGUAGUUCUCCUACUCUGAAGACGGCAGGUUCUUUAGACACUGGGCCAGGGAAGCAUUAUCUUUAUCCCCGAGGGUUCACCUCCAUGUUAGUCUGUUCCUGAGUCUUGCUUUCCAUUCUGAGCUGCCAUUGUCUCUUCCUGAAGGAUGUGUGGGUUGCUGUUUGUUCCCAGGAAGACUGAGGUUUCAUCCUUGAUGUUAAUCCUUUUGCAAAGUUAAUGGUUUGCCUCUUUAUCCCUUUACUUAGAGUGUUUCUUUUGAAGUUCCCCAUCACAAAGUUUGUAUUGCUGUUUCUCAGUGUUUGAAAUCUUGUUAGGUACCAAUGAGAUCACAAUUUGGCUCUGCUCUGUAAAAAGCACUCAUUUCAUGUUUCACAGACCUCUAAAAAGGUUUGUGUAUAAGAAGAAGAAGUAGGAGAAACAAAAUAAGGAGGAGAAGAAGUAAAAUAAUUUGAGAAGGAAUAUGAAGGUAAUAUAGAAAUAAAUUUUGUUUUCAAUAUUAGGCUUUAUUUUUAGAGCAGUUUUAGAUUCACAGAGAACUUCUGUAUAUAACCACUUGCCUCUAGAUUAAGCUAAAUUUGAGUUUAUACUGAUUUCUCCAAAGCCAAUCUAUGAUUGCUUGGAUAAUGCUUAUCUCCUUCCCUUGCUUUAUCUGUAAAUUCCUAUUCCAACAGUGAGAAGUUUGGCUCUCACCAUCCACUGUUCCUUUAUUUAAUUGUUCAAUUCCAGGGCAUAUAUGCAGUAGUUUCAAAGUUGGUAACUAGUGCUUGCCAGGAGGCUACUUUACCAAAUAGAGUACAGUGCUUACAGGCAGUUUCUUUUGCCCUUACUCUUACAGACUUUACUCAUUUACAAAGUUACUCAGCUCAGCAUCUUCCUCUCCUCACCAUCUUCGGUGAGAUUGUUUCAAUAAUCUACUAGAGACACAGGUGUAAUUUCACCAUUAUUUGCCAUACAAUGAAAUGUUCCUGUUGCGCAUGUGUUAUUUUGGAAUCCCUGGACCUUCUAAAUGUUUCUUUUUUCUUACCUUUUAAUUUUAAAGUUUACCCCCUUAUGCUUUAAAGUUACAUGGGUUUUGGGUCAAAUGGUAUUUCUAGUUC
rnacentral:lncRNA from 10 species